UUGUCAAUGAUGAGAACUGUUCUUGUUGAAGACAGAUGAUAAUAUUAAAAUCAUGCUCAACAGGAGUACACUGAGGCCC